UUGCCAAAGGAGCAAUCCGCUGAAAGAUGGGCUCGCGGCCGAUUAGGUAGUUGGUGAGGUAACGGCCCACCAAGCCGACGAUCGGUAGCCGGACUGAGAGGUUGAUCGGCCACAUUGGGGACUGAGACACGGCCCAGACUCCUACGGGAGGCAGCAGUGGGGGAUAUUGCACAAUGGAGGGAACUCUGAUGCAGCGACGCCGCGUGAGGGAAGACGGUCUUCGGAUUGUAAACCUCUGUCUUCGGGGACGAUAAUGACGGUACCCGAGGAGGAAGCCACGGCUAACUACGUGCCAGCAGCCGCGGUAAUACGUAGGUGGCAAGCGUUGUCCGGAAUUACUGGGUGUAAAGGGAGCGUAGGCGGGGUGCCAAGUUGAAUGUGAAGUCGGCCGGCUUAACUGGUCGCUGCGUUCAAAACUGGCGCUCUUGAGUGGAGCAGAGGCAGGCGGAAUUCCUAGUGUAGCGGUGAAAUGCGUAGAUAUUAGGAGGAACACCAGUGGCGAAGGCGGCCUGCUGGGCUUUAACUGACGCUGAGGCUCGAAAGCGUGGGUAGCAAACAGGAUUAGAUACCCUGGUAGUCCACGCCGUAAACGAUGAUUACUAGGUGUGGGUGGACUGACCCCAUCCGUGCCGGAGUUAACACAAUAAGUAAUCCACCUGGGGAGUACGACCGCAAGGUUGAAACUCAAAGGAAUUGACGGGGGCCCGCACAAGCAGUGGAUUAUGUGGUUUAAUUCGAAGCAACGCGAAGAACCUUACCAGGUCUUGACAUCUCCUGCAUAGCCUAGAGAUAGGUGAAAUCCCUUCAGGGACAGGAAGACAGGUGGUGCAUGGCUGUCGU
rnacentral:rRNA from 1 species